AUGGCACUCGUAUAUAGCUGUUGUUUUGGUUUUCUCUGAGAUUAGGAGGAAUAUUAAUUGGGAUCUUCUCAUUGGCAAGCGCGCAACUUUUAAGGUAUAUCGUGUUUAUGAUAACUUUAAUAUGUAUAUACAUACUGGUUUGCUUGCUGUUUAUUUAUGGCGCGUAUACGUGCAAUAAUGUUUUAUUGGUUGCCUACAUUUUAUUGGAACUCCUUCGUCUCAUUGUUAUUUCAAUCAUAGUAGCUACUGGUUUAUUACUAUUGAAACAAAACACAAUGGACAUUGGUAUUCUUAUUGGUGCAAGUGUAGCCGGUGGAUUUCUAUUAUUGGGGAUGUUUUACUUAUGGAUAUGCGCUGCGAAUCUCCCGGUCUUGAUAAACGAGAUGGAACGUGAUGAUCAGUCCGAUACAAUCACAAAAUUGCGUGAAAUUCUGGAAGCAAAAAAUCAGAGAAACGACUUACUAGGAUUCCACAGUACGCCUAGAAAAUCAAAAAUAUUACUUAAACCAACUAACGGAAUACCUCAUAAUAUGAAGUCAAACCAUGUGCCUGCACAAAUAUAUGUUGGUUAA